UACGUAGGGUGCAAGCGUUAAUCGGAAUUACUGGGCGUAAAGCGUGCGCAGGCGGUUCGCUAAGACCGAUGUGAAAUCCCCGGGCUCAACCUGGGAACUGCAUCUGUGACUGCAUUGCUGGAGUACGGCAGAGGGGGAUGGAAUUCCGCGUGUAGCAGUGAAAUGCGUAGAUAUGCGGAGGAACACCGAUGGCGAAGGCAAUCCCCUGGGCCUGUACUGACGCUCAUGCACGAAAGCGUGGGGAGCAAACAGG
rnacentral:rRNA from 1 species